GUGUGAGCACUGAGCACCUGCGGUCUUGUGAGCACUGUGCACCUGCGGUCUUGUGAGCACUGUGCACCUGCGCUCCUGUCUGGCCUCGUUCUCUCUUGAACUGAGAAUUCGCCAGCAUGGCGAGGAGACCGCCUCCUGCCGUGGGCCCCGCGGGCGCCCAUGGAAGGUCCGCAGCCUCCUGUGUCCCUUCCUGUGUGCACGGGGGGAGGCAGGGUUAGAUGUGAGUCGUCUGUAAGCACUGGAGAGGACCUCCAGUUGUCGGCACCCUUCAGAAUAUGCACUGUGUGUAUAUUCCUUCUAAAUCUAUUUGUUUUAUGUUGCGGGUGUAUCUGCACCCCACCUGUGUGCCUGCUGCUCAUGGAGGCCACAGAAGCCAUCGGUCUGGAACUAGAGUCACAGGCAGUUGUAAGCCAACACGUGCUGGACAUCUGCUGGCGUCACAACAGCAGCCGGUGCUGCUUUUAGCUGCUGAGCCAUCUCUGAUGGGGACGGUGCUUCUGUGUAUGUUCAUCUUACUGAUUGUUGACUAAAGUACUGUUGGCCAAUGAGGCAGCAAGUUAGGUGGAACUAGGAGUCAAGCAGGAUUCUGGGAAAUGUAGUAGAGAAGUGGUGAUCCAGGCAGGAAGUGACAUGGCAGGGAGACUCCUAUAUAAACAAGGGCAAGAAGGAGGUGGGCCCCUUCGCUCUUCCUCCAGAGUCACCAUGUGAGCCCGAGAUAAGGACGCCAAUGGAAGGCAUCAGAUAAGCCUUAUAAAAUAUAUGGAUUUAUGAUAAUUAAGACUGAGCUAACAGAUGAGAAUCCUAGUAAUUGGCCAAGCAACCUUUGUACCUAAUAGAAGUCUCUGUGUGUUACCUGGGGCCCUAACACAGCGAGCAGAACUCAGGCAGGUGGUGAGAAGAUUUAUCGUAACAUCUCUAUAGCCCUUACAUUUGUCACUGUUGUGAUGAAAUUCAGGACAAGAAGUCACUCGAGGAAGGAGGGCUUUAUUGUGGCUCACAGUUUUGAGGGUGCAGUCCAUCCUGGAAUGGAAGUCAUGGCGGCAGGAGCGGGAGGCAGCAGGUCACAUCACAUCCACAGUCCGGAAGCAGAGAAGAGGGUGCUGGCACUUACCUGCUUCUCCUUUUAUUCCGUCCAGAAACCAGCCCGUGUAAUAUAUUAUGUCAACUACACACGCUCAAGGGGAAUCUUCUCACCUCUGUUAGGCUAGAAAGUCCCUCAGACUUGCUCAGAAGUUCAUCUCCAAGGUGGAUAUGUCAGAAGGUGAGGACGCAGGGUGUGAAGAGAGACUUAUAAAACACCACCAGUUGCGUUCCAGCUGGUUGCAAGAAUGACUUGCCCUUAGCAGAAAUGGUUACUGGAAAGCCAAAUUGAGUUAAUUUAUAGAGAAAUAACUGCUUUUUUUUUUUGUCAUUUCUGUGUUGUGCUUGUAAAUUUUGCAAUAGCUACAUAUACAAAAAUCAAUAGGCCUUUCUAGUUACAACCAUAAGCAGUCAGGAAAUGCAAUGAAGAUAAGGAGUACAUUCUCAAACGCAGUAAAAACACAAAGUAUUUGCAGUAGUUGGAAUGUGAUAUGUACUAGGGUACUAGGGCAAUAGGAAUAAGGACACAAUGCUGAAUUAUGCUGUAUCACCUGGAGAGAGAGACUGUUUCUGAAGAGCAAGUUUAAACAUUUUUAAAUGUCCAGUUAUAGCCAGGCAUUGUUGGCGCACGCCCUUAAUCCCAGCACUCUGGAGGCAGAGGCAGGCGGAUCUCUGUGAGUUUGAGGCCAGCCUGGUCUCCAGAGUGAGUGCCAAGAUAGGCUCCAAAGCUACACAGAGAAACCCUGUCUCAAAAAAAAAAAAAAAGGUCCAGUUAUAUUAAGUUUAGUUCAAAUUAAUUCCUCUGAAUGCCACAAUACAAUUUGAACAAAAAAAUUUAAUGAAAUUAUUUUAAAAUUCCUUCUGGAAAAAAGUGUUCUUGAAUGAUGUCUUUUUUUUUAAAUUUUGAGUUGACAAACUGGGCAUAGUGUUGCAAGCCUAUAUUUGGAAAGCCAAGAAAGGAUAAUUGUGAACUUGAGGGUAACCUUGACAACAUAUCACAAUGCUAUCUCAAAAUUUUAAAAGGAGAUUAACAAAGAGUAAUAAGAAUUAGAUGCCUGGGCAUUGGUGGCACAUGCUUUUAAUCCCAGCACUCAGGAGACAGAGGCAGGCAGAUCUCUUUGAGUUCGAGGAAAGCUUGGUCUAUGGAGAGAAGAGUUCCAGGACAGGCUCCAAAACAAUACAGAGAAACUCUGUCUCCAAAAAACAAAAACAAAACAAAACAAAAACGAUUAAUAAGAAUUAGAGCAAGGGACUGGAGAGAUGGCCCAGCAGUUAAGAGCACUGGCUGCUCUUCCAGAGGACCUGAGUUUAAUUCCCAGCAACCACAUGGUGGUUCACAAGUGUUUAUAAUGGGAUCUGAUGCUUUUUGUCAUGUAGGCAUAUAUGCAAAUAGAACACUCAUAUACCUAUACAUACAUACAUAGAAUUAGAGCCAGACACCGGCAAGUGGGUCUCUGUGGGUUUGAGGCCAGCCUGGUCUACAUAGUGGCAAGAGAGCCAGGUCUAUGUAGAGAGAUCCUGUCUCAAAGCAAACAUGCAAUUAAAGUUGUAUUUUUCUGGAAUAAAAUCAACAUGACAGAAUACAAAGUUCAAGCUGGAGGCCAAUAUGCAUAAUUCUUUUAUUGUAUAUGUUUAAGUUGGAAACACUAUUUUUUCCACAAGGCCCAGUUUUGAACUCAAGACAUAGCUGACCAUUAGCUCCUCCAUCUCUUGUCUCUGCCUCCCCCAACUGCUGGGAUUACAGGCCUGCACUACAUGUCCAGCUACGAGAUUUUACCAUAUAAUAAAAGGCAUUGCAGACUCAGAGAACAGAGGACUGUUCACUCAAAUGGCUCCAUAGAAGAAAAAUUAAUUUAGAUUCUGUUAUCAUACCAUAGGAUGGAUAGCAGGAAGAAAGAGAGAGAGAGGAAGAAGAGACGGAUGGAGGGGGGAGAGAGGAAGAGAGAAUGAAUGACAAUCUGGGGAAGAGAACGGCCUUUGGAGUUGUGCCCCAAGCGACCUGCUUGGUUACUUGCCAGUGGACUAGCGCAUGUAUGAAAAGAUUACCCUUAGGAGCCACGUAACUCUCUGUGGUUCAACCAUGCAGGAGCCAAGUCUUCAACACGUGAUGGGCUUCUGUGGGGACACUUAAACGAAAACCACAAACCACCACAAGACCAAGGGACGAAAGUGCAGCUGAGAUGGCUCAGCUGAUGAGUGCAUUGCGGCCAGGCCUGAUUAUGUGAGUUUGAUCUUGGGGUCCCACGUGGUAGAAGGAAAGAACCGACUCCUGCAAGUUGUCCUCUGACCUCCAAACAUGUUCUCUUGAAAGACCCCCGAAGAGGUACUUUCGUAGAAGGAGACCCGUACCCAGGAAUCAGCGAGACCACGAACUUGGAUGCAAACUGCAAGAGGUUUUAUUAGAGACGCGGGUACCUGGGGCGACUUAGCUUCUGUGUGGCUAAGCGCGCUGAGCCAAGGGAAAGGGGUCCUUAUAUAGGGAAAAAGGCGCAAGCUAGAAGCAGGGAUUCUAUUGGAUAAUUCUAAUGAGGCAUUGUACAGAGCUAUUCCCAUUGGUCAAUGUAAAUGAGGCGCUAUACAGGGUUAUUCAAAUGAGGCGCAGUACAGAGUUAUUCAAAUGAGGUGAAACACAGAGUCUUUCAAAUGAGGUAAAGUACAGAAUCAUUUCUAUUGGAUGGUUCAAAUGAGACACAGAGCCAUUCCAGAUCAGCAUAUUCUCAAGGUCUGGUGUCUGGUACAACAGACUCAAUUCCCUCCGCGUCCGGACAGCUGACCUUGGGACGGAGGGUGGGGGUGUGGGAGCGGGGCUCCAGGCCGGCCUAACUGGUGCUCUCGCCCUCGGGCCAACGCACCUGGUGCUCGCCCUCGGGCCGGCCCACCUGGUGCUCGUUGCUCGAGGCGCGGUGCCAGGCGGGGCGGGCCGGGGGCGCGAGCCCUGUUGGGGUGUAGGCUUGGGAGGCCCUGGCAGCUCCGCGGCCCUCGUGUCCUUGGCCUUGGAGGCGGCUCCCCGCUCGCAGCUCCUAGACAAGCAGCACCGCUGCUCUCCCAGCUCAAGUUCCCCUUCCAGGCGCCGCCCGCGCUGCACUCUCCAGCCCCUGGCCGAACCCUGGCCCUGCCCUGCUCAGUCGCCGCGCUGCCCUCGGUCAACUGCUCCUCCCGCCUGCUCCAGAGAGAACACCCAGCACCGGCACAGGCGGGGAAGACAGAGGGGCAGGGGGCAUGCAGAAGUAUUCCGAGCGGGUCUUUCACUCUGUGGCGUCAUCACACCCCACCAUAUACAUGGCAUACUCGAAAUAAUAAAGCAGACAGUAUCUGAGUGUUGAGCCAAAUGAAUACCCUGAGAAACCCCCUCGUCAGUCAACACAGUGCUGUGCAGAUCUCAUCUGACAACACCCAGCCCCAAGAAGCCCGCCAGGGUUGGAGUUGCUGAGCACAGUUCUGUUCGGUCCGUGCAAUAUGAAAACACUGGGUGUUGUUUCAAAGCAAAGUCUGUGGGGUGGGAUACCCCUCUGCUCUGGGAAGAAUGAUAUUGGGUGGACGUGAGCUGCUGUGCAGAUGACCCUCGGGUGACAGGACUCAGACACAGAGAUUGGCAUUGUGACGCUUGGGGUUAGGACAACACUGUUGGGAGCUGGCAGAGCAUUUAGACAUGGGGAAUUCCAAUCUGCCUGCUUUAAUGACUUGACGUUAGGAUCACUGAGAACAUGACUUGCAAGGGCCCUGAGACUGGCCCCUUCCUCUUUGUCUUUCACAACCUAGCCCGUGAUAAGUCAAGCAGUAUUUAUUUAUUUGUUUGUUUAUUUAUUAUGUACACAGUGUUCUACCUGCAUGCAUUUGGGCACCAGGUCUCAUUACAGAUGGUUGUGAGCCACCAUGUGGUUGCUGGGAAUUGAGCUCAGGACCUCUGGAAGAGUAGCCAGUGCUCUUAACCUCUGAGCCAUCUCUCCAGCAGUUUGGCUGUGGCCUCAUUACAGGCCCAAAAGGCCCAAGGAGAAUCAGCUGUGGAUAGGGGCCUCUGGAACUAGGAGACAAAGUGGACUUUUUCUACUUGCAAGUUAAUUAUUUCAGGCAUUUUGUCACAAGCGUGGAUAAUUCUGUUUAUAUGAAAUACCUAGUGAAGGCAAAACCAUGAAGCACAUUAGUGGAUAUUGAGGCAGGAGUAACUGCAGGAGACCAAGAGAAGCAAACGUAGCGUUUUAGAUGUUGGAAAACAGAGUUGGGGUGGCUCUAAGUGUAUCAGUUUACUAAAACUCACCAAGUUGUGUGCUGUGAUUGCUGACGUUUGGGGUAUGCAAAUUAUGCCUAAAGUGGAGCUGGGUGGUUUUGUUUUGUUUUUAAUUAAAAGAUUCUUUGAGGAUCAACCUGUAACUGCUCAAUGUGAGAGUCACAGAAGCCAUCAUGCCUUUCAAGGGCGGGAGACGAUACAAUUAUGUCAAGCCAGACUUGGAAACCUUCAAAAACUAGAAUAUGCAAUUUCUAAACAUAAUUCUUAUGUUAGCUCACAAUACCAAUGCUGGGCCAAGAAUAUUAGCAUGUUAAAUUUAGGGCGACAAAUGGAGCACUUUCCUCCUUUGGAGGGAUGGUGAUGGGCCUGGGGGCCAGCAGGAGCUCUCUGAGCUUUUCUGGACUGGGCAGCUGUUUAGGGCAGAUCCUGGCAUGAGGAAAGGUAUUCAGGGUGUAGACUUAAAUACCUUCCCUAACAACUGUGGCAUUGCUGAGGGUACACCACCGUCACCACAGAAAUGCCGGCAAACUAUAAUAGGAAAAUCCAUCUUCAGAGGCAAAAGAAUGAAUGGAGCAUUCUAGAACUGGCAUUUCUGUCCCUGGCGAUUGGUUCUAUACUGUGCGCAUCAGAUUCUCCUGAUUUGUUAGAUAGGUUACUAGGCUGGGUCCAUGGAGCUGUGACCCUGAAUUUCUGGGAAAGAGUCUGAAUCCUAUCAAGCCCUGUAGGGGUGAAACUGACACCCCACAAGGGAGCACAGGCUGCAGAUGAGAGUAGCUGAUGGCGGCUCUGCUGUUUCAGUCUUGGGGAGAAGUUGGAUUUGCUUCAUAGCCUGGUCUCACACACGCACGCAUGCACGCACGCACCUCUUCCUCCUGAUUGAUUGACCCACCUGUGGUGACUUAUUACCGUGUCUGAAGAGUUUAAUUCAGGCACUAAACAUUUGCCUGCUAAUUUUAAGGUCGUUCUUACAUAGGGCCUGUAGAGGAGACUGAAGGGCUCCCUGGUUGAAACCCCUGCUGAGGUGGGGAAGAAAGCCUGAUUUGGCCAAGUUUGGCAAUCCAAUCCUGUUCAGAACCCUGAUAAACUCACCUGAUGUCACGUGGGAGAGCAGGAACGCUGUCCUUUCUGUGACACCCUGUUUUUCACUCUGCUUUUUAUACCAUCGCCCAGAGGUAGCUAGUGGUGACCAAUAACUUUUUCUAAGACCUUUGAAUGAGAAAUGUCCCCCAGGGGCCGAGUGUUUGGAUGCCUGACUCCCAGGACAGGCGAUGUGUCCUGGGGAACUAAGUGGA
ensembl:lncRNA